rnacentral:rRNA from 1 species
UGAAGGUGUAUACCACCGUUGUUGCGUUUAAAACGCUCGUAGUUGGAUCUACGUUGGAGGAGGCGGUCCGGCUUCACGGCCGGUACUGUCGUCCACCACUGAUGAAGCAGGUUUUCCCUGCGUCUACUUCAUUGUGGGCGCAGUGUAGCUUGCAUCUUUACUUUGAAAAAAUUAGAGUGCUCAAAACAGGCGCAAGCCUGAAUAAUGGUGCAUGGAAUAAUGGAAUAGGAUCUUGGUCCUAUUUUGUUGGUUUUACGGAACCAAGAUGAUGAUUGAGAGGGACAGACGGGGGCAUUCGUAUUGCAGCGUUAGAGGUGAAAUUCUUGGAUCGUUGCAAGACGAACAACUGCGAAAGCAUUUGCCAAGAAUGUUUUCAUUAAUCAAGAACGAAAGUCAGAGGUU